rnacentral:rRNA from 1 species
AGAGUUUGAUCAUGGCUCAGGAUGAACGCUAGCGGCAGGCUUAAUACAUGCAAGUCGUGGGGCAGCGCAGUGUAGCAAUACAUGGGCGGCGACCGGCAAACGGGUGCGGAACACGUACGCAACCUUCCUUCAAGUGGGGGAUAGCCCAGGGAAACUUGGAUUAAUACCCCGUAACAUUACGGAGUGGCAUCACUUUGUAAUUAUAGCAGCAAUGCGCUAGAAGAUGGGCGUGCGCCUGAUUAGGUAGUUGGCGGGGUAACGGCCCACCAAGCCUACGAUCAGUAACUGGUGUGAGAGCACGACCAGUCACACGGGCACUGAGACACGGGCCCGACUCCUACGGGAGGCAGCAGUAAGGAAUAUUGGUCAAUGGACGCAAGUCUGAACCAGCCAUGCCGCGUGGAGGAUGAAGGUCCUCUGGAUUGUAAACUUCUUUUAUCUGGGAAGAAACCCAAGAUUUCUAUUUUGGUUGACGGUACCAGAUGAAUAAGCACCGGCUAACUCCGUGCCAGCAGCCGCGGUAAUACGGAGGGUGCAAGCGUUAUCCGGAUUCACUGGGUUUAAAGGGUGCGUAGGCGGGCAGGUAAGUCAGUGGUGAAAUCCCCGAGCUUAACUUGGGAACUGCCGUUGAUACUAUCUGUCUUGAAUACUGUGGAGGUAAGCGGAAUAUGUCAUGUAGCGGUGAAAUGCUUAGAUAUGACAUAGAACACCUAUUGCGAAGGCAGCUUGCUACACAGUCAUUGACGCUGAGGCACGAAAGCGUGGGGAUCAAACAGGAUUAGAUACCCUGGUAGUCC